rnacentral:lncRNA from 1 species
GGGCAUCGGAGGUGCCAUCGGAGAAGCCACAGGAGGAGGAGCCAUCGGGGGAGGCGCGUGAGGAACCGAUGGUGCACUAGAAGAAGGAGAUCCAAAGACUCUCUGAGUGUACUGAGUCUCGGGGACAGUCUCCUGACCCGAAGAACCGGGAGCUGAAGAAGACGACGGGUCUAAACGACUACCCGGCUCACCGAACAUCUCUCUGUAAUGGGCAGUAAGUCUACCUUUUCGAACCUGAGAAAAAACAUUAAUUUUUUAAAUUUUCAUAAAAUACUUCCCAACAUUAUCC